GCCGUGAGGUGUUGGGUUAAGUCCCGCAACGAGCGCAACCCUCACUCUAUGUUGCCAGCGGUUCGGCCGGGGACUCAUAGGAUACUGCCGGUGACAAACCGGAGGAAGGUGGGGACGACGUCAAGUCAUCAUGCCCCUUAUGUCCAGGGCUACACACGUGCUACAAUGGCCGGUACAAAGAGCUGCAAAGCCGCGAGGUGGAGCGAAUCUCAUAAAGCCGGUCCCAGUUCGGAUUGAAGGCUGAAACUCGCCUUCAUGAAGUCGGAGUUGCUAGUAAUCGCGAAUCAGCAACGUCGCGGUGAAUACGUUCCCGGGCCUUGUACACACCGCCCGUCACACCACGAAAGUUGGCAACACCCGAAGCCGGUGGGCUAACCCGCAAGGGAGGCAGCCGUCGAAGGUGGGGUCAGCGAUUGGGGUGAAGUCGUAACAAGGUAGCCGUAGCGGAAGCUGCGGCUGGAUCACCUCCUUUCUAGGGAGUGGCGCUGUGCGCCACCUGGGCUCCGGAGUCCUCUCGAGGACACCGUUGAGCUCCCUCGGUCUCGACCGAGCGAGCGAUGCCCUAGAAGAAUGUCGACGACCUGGAGCCGUACGGCGCGUCCGCACGAGGCCCACAUCCAUUCAUGGGGUUCGUGGCGUGCGGGGAGCGAGCCGCUCGGCCAUGCUGUUCAGUCUUGAGGGAUCGCCGGCUGGCGUGUAUCGCGGUCGGCUCGCUCUCGUCGCCCCCCGGAACCGUUGGGGGGCACGUACCUUGAAAACUGCAUAGCGGCAGUAGGUGUGCUCUAUUAGUAUCUGGUCAAGAUAUUAAGGGCACGUGGUGGAUGCCUUGGCGUCAGAAGCCGAUGAAGGACGUGGAUGGCUGCGAUAAGCCGCGGGUAGGUGCUGAACGACCGUUGAUCCGCGGAUGU
rnacentral:sRNA from 1 species